rnacentral:rRNA from 1 species
AGCGAACGCUGGCGGCAGGCCUAACACAUGCAAGUCGAACGAACUCUUCGGAGUUAGUGGCGGACGGGUGAGUAACACGUGGGAACGUGCCUUUAGGUUCGGAAUAACUCAGGGAAACUUGUGCUAAUACCGAAUGUGCCCUUCGGGGGAAAGAUUUAUCGCCUUUAGAGCGGCCCGCGUCUGAUUAGCUAGUUGGUGAGGUAAAGGCUCACCAAGGCGACGAUCAGUAGCUGGUCUGGGGGGAUGAUCAGCCACAUUGGGACUGAGACACGGCCCAAACUCCUACGGGAGGCAGCAGUGGGGAAUCUUGCGCAAUGGGCGAAAGCCUGACGCAGCCAUGCCGCGUGAAUGAUGAAGGUCUUAGGAUUGUAAAAUUCUUUCACCGGGGACGAUAAUGACGGUACCCGGAGAAGAAGCCCCGGCUAACUUCGU